GUGUCAGCAGCCGCGGUAAAACGUAGGUGGCGAGCGUUAUCCGGAUUUACUGGGCGUAAAGCGUGUGCAGGCGGACCGUCAAGUGGUGUAUGAAAUCGCCCGGCUUAACCGGGCGGGGUUAGGCCAGACUGACGGACUGGAGUGCGAGAGAGGGGCGUGGAAUUCCGGGUGUAGUGGUGAAAUGCGUAGAGAUCCGGAGGAACCCCAGCGGCGAAGGCGGCGCCCUGGCUCGCAACUGACGCUCAGACACGACAGCAUGGGGAGCGAACGGGAUUAGAAACCCUGGUAGUCC
rnacentral:rRNA from 1 species